rnacentral:lncRNA from 1 species
GUAGCUGGUUGAAGUUUUUCACUGGAUUAUUUAUAUAUCUGUGUUUCUUAUGUUUCUAAAAUAGGUUUAACCAAUUGUAGUCUACCCUAUAGGUUUGGUCAGACAAGGUUUACAUUUUUAUUCUGAAAGUUUGUUAAAUAUACCAUUAAGAGGUUUUGACGCUUCUUUUAAAUGGUUGUUCAGGUACCAUGGAAAGGAGAGUUGGGCUGUUGUUUCUUUUUCUGAUGGGUGCUUGCUGUGCUUGUGAUGCCCGACAACUGGGAGAACCUGAGUUAUCUGGUAAGAAUAGGGACUCAGUUAUAUCAAGCAAGUUUUCAGUGAUUCCAGAUACUUUAAUUUUCUCUGUUUCUCGUUCUCUCUGUGCGCUGGUCACAUAUUACUCCUUUUUGUUUAUUGGAUGAGAACAAGUUUGGGGGAUGGAUGUUACCUAUGUAAAACGGCUAUUGCCUUCUAAAAGGAUGCUUGUUUGCUCCUUCAAACUUUUAUAUACUUGCUAAAAUGUUGCCUUCAAAUGAUUUCUUAUUUGCAAUUUUUUGAAUUUGUAGGAAUGCAUUUUGCAUUUUGAAGUAAAAGAUCUUGUUAUGUUAAAAAUACAUGGUGUGUUGAUAUUAUGGCUGCCUUUUCAGUCUUGCAGGUAAGCAAGCAUGAGCAAGAGAAGGAAAGCCAACCUGUUGAAAAUUUUGGCCGGAAUGAAAAUCUGUGCACGUUGUGUGAGGAAUUUACUGCCAAGGCAGUUGAUUACUUUGCUGAAAACAAAACCCAAACUG